rnacentral:lncRNA from 1 species
AGACCCGUUUUUGCUGGACCCCCGAGGCUAACAGGGCAUUCAUGGAGCUCAAGAAAACGAAUCCCUUUUGUGUCCCUCACUGCCACAGAUGACCCAGCCUGACAUGAAACAUGUCGACCCAGCUUUGCUGUAGUAUCCUGACUGGAAAGGCCACCACUUGUUGUGGUGAUGAAUGGCUGUGGCUCCCUCUUCUCAUCUAUAGCCGCAGUGCUUUGUGACCUGCAAGAUGCAAUCCUUAUUUCAACGCCAUUCUAUAGUGGUCACUGAGGAUGUGCAUCUCUACAGUGGUGUUCGGCUCUUCUAUGUUCAUCUCGACUGUGAGGGGGUGAAUGUCAAGAGUCGUGAUCCUGGUGAACCCCCAUAACCCCCUGGCUGAGGUCCACUCCCCGUCAGGACUGGCUUCUUGGAGUUUG